AAAAUUGGUUGAUGAUAAUAUCUGCGAAGCACAUAUAUCAGAUUCUCAAUUCUCAUUUCCAGAUGAGGUGCUUAGAAGCAUUAAUCUUGAUUUCAUCAAAUCCAAUUUGGCAGUUGAAGAUAAGUCUAUGGUAUUUGCAUUCUAAGUCUUCAUUUAUUUUCAUAAGCUUUCAGAUUAAUAAAAUAUUCCUACAUUAUAUAGAAAAAAGGAGUUGCUGCAGAAACGACUGUGAAUACUUCAGCAGAAGAUGAGUCCAAGAACAAUAAAUGUGAUGCUAAAAAGAUUGUAGACACAUCAGAAGUUGUUGCAGAAACGACUGUGAAUACUUCAGCAGAAGAUGAGUCCAAGGAUAAUGAAGGUGCUGCUGAAAAGAUUUUAAAUCCAGUUGAAUCUAAUAUGGAUAACUCAAAGUUGAAUCAACAAAAUCAGUCUCCGGUCCACAUUCAUGUGGCGUUAACUGAACAAAGAAAAGAUGAACAAAAUUUUUUAGACUCGCAAGUCACUAUUCCUGAUGAGCUUUUACCGAGUCUUAAUGUAUAUUUGAAUCAAGAAAGAAGUAUAAUUGUACAUCCAUCGGCAAACAAAGGACAAGAAAUGCCCAUGCAUGUAUCAAGGAUUAAGCGACCAUCUAGAUUCAAAGAGUCACCAUUUACAAUGAAUUUUGGUUCAGCGGAUGAAGGGGAGCGCAAAAUAUUCUAUCAGAAGCAUCCAUUCGUAUCUCAUCCGGUUAAUGAUAUAGAAGACACUAAGAUUAUCAACAAAUUUCUGAAGUGGCUGUCUGUGGAUAUUCUUAAAUUUCAUGCAAAAAG